rnacentral:tRNA from 1 species
GGAGUUGUGGCUCAGUGGUAGAGCGCUUGCCUAGCAUGUGUGAAGCACUGGGUUCGAUUCUCAGCACCA